rnacentral:snoRNA from 1 species
UGUCGUGAUGAAGCAUUACGGAUGUUAAUGAGCUUCACGCUCGCUUGUCCGAGAGCGCAUAAACCCCAUGUGGAUUCUUCCGUUGCCUUCCUUCUGAACCUCGAU